rnacentral:rRNA from 1 species
CCUACGGGAGGCAGCAGUGAGGAAUAUUGGUCAAUGGUCGGGAGCCUGAACCAGCCAAGCCGCGUGAGGGAUGAAGGUACAGAGUAUCGUAAACCUCUUUUGUCAGGGAACCAAGACUGGGACGUGUCCCCGGAUGAGUGUACCUGAAGAUAAAGCAUCGGCUAACUCCGUGCCAGCAGCCGCGGUAAUACGGAGGAGGCGAGCGUUAGCCGGAGUUAUUGGGUUUAAAGGGUGCGCAGGCGGUCUGUUAAGUCAGCGGUCAAAGCCCGGGGCUCACCCCCGGCCCGCCGUUGAAACUGGCAGUCUCGAGUUGGAGAGAAGUAUGCGGAAUGCGCGGUGUAGCGGUGAAAUGCAUAGAUAUCGCGCAGAACUCCGAUUGCGAAGGCGGCAUGCCGGCUCCACACUGUCGCUGAGGCACGAAAGCGUGGGUAUCGAACAGGAUUAGAUACCCCUGUAGUC